rnacentral:misc_RNA from 1 species
UACGGAGGGUGCAAGCGUUAAUCGGAAUUACUGGGCGUAAAGCGCACGCAGGUGGCCUGUUAAGUCGGAUGUGAAAUCCCCGGGCUCAACCUGGGAACUGCAUCCGGAACUGGCAGGCUAGAGUGUUGGAGAGGGGGGUAGAAUUCCAGGUGUAGCGGUGAAAUGCGUAGAGAUCUGGAGGAAUACCGGUGGCGAAGGCGGCCUCCUGGACAGAGACUGACGCUCAGGUGCGAAAGCGUGGGGAGCAAACAGG